rnacentral:lncRNA from 1 species
AACUUCAAAACUUGACGAAUUAUCAUAAUCAUAAUUAAUUUAUCAUAUUCUGCUGAAAAAAAAAGGUAAAAGGCACUACAACAAAAACGGUCUAUAGCGACACUUUUAAAUGUAGGUACAUGUCAAAAAAGUGCUGCUAGCUAAAAUUACCGACACUUUUAAAAANGUGAAUGAUCGAUAGAGAAUUUCUUUUGUGACUGCAACUUCAAAACUUGACGAAUUAUCAUAAUCAUAAUUAAUUUAUCAUAUUCUGCUGAAAAAAAAAGGUAAAAGGCACUACAACAAAAACGGUCUAUAGCGACACUUUUAAAUGUAGGUACAUGUCAAAAAAGUGCUGCUAGCUAAAAUUACCGACACUUUUAAAAAAUAUUGCUAUAUGUGGGGUUGCUAGGUAUAUAGUGACAGUUAAAGAGAGGCGCUAUAACCUAAAAGAGUGCUGCUAAUUUACCAACAACUUAUUUAAGCAUUUAGCAACCGCUGAAACUCUAUCUCGUUGGCUGCGAUGGCGGAGGAGGACGACAGAAAUGUCUCUUCGUCUAGAAUUUCAGUGGAUUGAGUGAAGAGAGAAGAAAAUAUGGUAAUUAAUUUUUCUUUUUUUUUUCUUUUCUGUUUGUAAUCAGGCCAAAUGGACUGGGUGUGGUGGGUUGAGUAAAGUAAUCUUUUAUUUUUGGUUGGAUUGGGCUUUAUAUUUAGGCAUUAGUAGAUAUUUUUUUAAAUUUUAGUAUAAAUGGGAUACUUACUCAAAAGUGUCCCAAACAUGUGUUUCUAUAACCUAAUUCUGUUGUAGUGGCUAUACAUUCAUUGCAUGCUACAGACAUUCUUCUUCCCCG